GACUCUCUCUGCAGCUAGUGCUCUCAGCAGCUGCUAGGUUUACUAGUGCAAUGUAAUGGAUGCUAAAUUUACCAUGAGCAAGAUAUUUCCAGUUUGAACCACCUUUGAUUAACUGGCACAACAGUAAUUUAAAAUGUUCAUGGCUGCCUUCCCUCUCAGUGUUUCACCAGCAUUCGUGGGCAUGGAAUUUUAUGUUCUGCAAAGCCCUUGGCGAUGAAAAGAGAAAAUACAGUGCAAUUAAAUACACCCCUGAAAGGACAAGAGACCUCACGAUUCACAGACUGCUCGGAAAUUGGGUGAAUUCAGGUGCUCAUCAGUUUGGGGCCAAUUGGAAGCUGACAAUGCCCUUGUCAAUCAAGCCCCCAAGAGACAUGGAUGAGAUACAUCUUUUGGUACUUAAGAGGCAGCAUCCUUCAAUCAUAGUGCCAUUGCAUAAGACGCCAUUAGAGGUCUUUUAUUUUAAGAUGACAUCUAAAGUCUAAAAUGGUAAGAAAAACAUAAAGCUUCAAAGAAAGAAAGAAACUUGGUAGCCAUUGUGACUUAUCGCUGUGAGAGAGCAGAUGUAUUACUGAAGAAAAGAAGAGACUAAAUGCCCAGCAAUCAAAUGCAUGCCUCUUUUCCAACAAUAUUUUCUUUUUGCUAUAGUAUCUACAGUGAAAUAUAUUCCUUUAUAAAAACAAAAACAAGCACUUGGCACAGGCCUGUCCAAUCACACAUUUUGCACAAGGCCAGGCCAAGAUGGAAAAAUAUUAAGUGUAUUUUUCCUGAAGUUUUCCAUAUUUUUUGCAGUGUGAAAACAAAUGUGAGAUGCUCAGAUUUUUUUGGAUACAUUUCAGCAGCAUGCCACAAGAAUGCCAUCUAGCCAAAGAAACUCUAAAGUGCCGUCUUUCUGUAUUGUAAACCACAAUACAUUCAUAUUUCUGACAUAAGAAAGAACACUACAUAAGCAACUUCAGCUCUUAGGAAAACUCUUAGGAGCCUCCACAGAAAGGCUGCACGA